AUCCUCUAAAUCUCAUUGGUUGAACGAUACGUCUGCUGUGCAGCAAUUGACCACACCUGCGUGAUUGAAACUUUUGUUAGUGAUUGGCAGAAGGCCGCGCCACUCACUUAAGAUGCACUGCGAUUGGCUUAGCCGCACAUGAAGCAAGACAAAAGUCUCCACGGCCUUUCCCUUGGAGAAGCUAAGGGUCCCUGGCUGUGAGUGGUGGCGGAGCGGGAGGCGCCCCUCACGCGCUCAUCCCGGCACCCGUUCGGCCAUCGCUACUCAGGGAUCCCUCACGCCUAUCCCCACGCUGGGAGAGAACCUGGCCUGCACUAGCCACGGAGCUCCCUCAGGGCACACCGAAGUACGUCUGAACAAUAGGCGUGGAAGCCUAUUGCCGAGGUCCAGCGAAGCCGUGGCCGCUGUAGACGUUAGAACCUGUCUGCAAACGGCGGGCUGGGACAGCACAGAUUGCCGUCCCCUGAGAGGCAGUCAGGAAACUGCAACCUCUGGUUGUGCUGCUUCACAACAUGUAGAAAAUGAGAUCAAGUGUCUGAAUAAUCAGCCUUAAUACCACUCAGGAAGGAGUUGAACUGCUAAACUACAAAAACGGGACCAUAUUGUUUUACUUUUAAAAUCUAUGAUUUAUAAAAAAUUCCUGUUAAAAACAAAACAAAUACCAUCACUAUUUAGAUCCCCAGGGAACUCUGUCCUAUCUUUCUGAAGUUACAAUAAAGGCAAGUUUUAAGCUACACGAAGCAUCUGCUCUCUCAGGAACUUUCAGAAGUAUUUUGUCACUGAAAAGCUUUUCAUUCAAACCCAUGGGAUCUGAAUCUUAAGUUUGAACACUCUUAUAGCCCUUAGAAAUGCAGACUUUUUUUUUUAAAAAAAAAGAAAGAUGAAGAGAAACUCGUUUACUCUGACAAAGCUAGUUUCAAAAUACAGCUUUACGAUUCUAAAGCUUCAGUAUUUCCACUUUCCAUUUCCAGACUCCACUGAUCUGAGGAGCUGAGACAGUCCUGAAUGCAGGUUAGUCCUUAAAUAAAAGCUGCUUUGCCAAUUAUUUACUCAUAACAAGAUCAAGGGGUUUAUGAAGAUUGCUACAGAAAUUGGACUAACUCUCCAGGAUGAGGACAUUUGACCAGAACAAUUCUCAGCAGCUGUUUUUUUCUGAAAACCUCAGAAACCAAUUCCACCUGCUGCUGAAACUCAUCCUGCAAUGAAUGCAAAAAACAUCGGGAAAUCUGAACAAGACUCCAGAAAAUGUGUAUCAAAGCUAGGCAAGGAGUGAUACUGCUGGUUUGUGGAAAGCCUCAGCCUGACACUCCUUCCAAGACUAAGGACUUUUCAUGCCAGUCUCAGCUACUUAUGACAGUCACAAAAGGCAUCUCCCCCCCCCCCCCCCCAAGCACACUGUACAAAAAGGUUUUGACUCAAUCUUGUCAUCUCCCAUCAAUUCAUUCACAACUCAAAGUACAAAGUAAAUCUCAGCUAACAAUUUCUGCUCCAGCUGGAUUCUGAGCUGUCCAAGACUUGCAUAUGAAGUGAUGCAUAGUGGAUGCUCAUGGAAGAUAGGUAUACAGGUUCAAGUUCAUCCUUCUGAGCAGAUGCUGUAUUUUUCAAGACUUUAGUUAAAGUUGCUUUUGUGCCUCUCUACAGCUCCUGGAAAAAUUCAUAAAGGCAAGCUGCAUUUUGGGAAGGAGGCUUGAAUCACUGUGUCCAGACUUCUGUCAAAGCUGCACAGAGGUAGUUCCAAACAACUUAAAAAGCAGUGUGUCCAAUUCUUGCUGCUUUCUUGCCUGAACAUCCAACACUGCAAGUCUGGCAGUACACUCCAAAGCAUGGUUAUUCAGUGAAAAACUGGAACAAGAUGUCAGUAUAUUGACAGAUUCCUUCAAGUGCUUCUUUCAUUCCAUUUUUUGUCUUAUCUGAGUUUAUACUGUAGAAUUUUCUUAAUCAAGUGAUCCUGCAAGAGCUCUUGCAGGGCAUCAGACCUGCUUUAAUGACAUCUACGGCUUAUUUCCCCUUCCAGUACCCAGUCUACUAAAACCAGCACAAAAUCCAUCAUAAAGGGUCUAUCUUUUCCUCACGUCCACCUGGAGAAUAUUACAUUCCUAAGGAGCAACAAUUUAGUACUUUGUUUGGGCAUCCACAGCCUUAGUCUUACCCCAUGUCUUAAAAUCAGCCUUAUACCAGGAUUAAUCCGUAAUAUCCUACUCUGCAGCUCCUGGCCAACUCACUCUUGUGCUGUCUUUUUAAAGCACCACACCAGCUCCUUCAAGGACCUCUGCUGACAGCGAGCCAUUUCUUCAGUAGCAUAACUAGUCCUACUUUGCCCCUCCUGCACAAGUUGAAAUUCCUCAGGGCUAAGGAAACGUCUCAAAGGGACUUGAACCACUUCACCACAUAAUAAAUACUGGCUAGGUCUCUCAGCAUCUCCAUAUUAGAAUAAAACCAUUAAUCCCAUGCCACAAGUGAAGAAAAUGGGAAACAUAUGAAGUACCUUGAAGGCCACUCAAAACUAAGAACAGGGAACAAACUCCAGUCUACCAUGCUAUAUUCAUACAAUCCUACACUACCAGGGAAAAGUGCUGUACUAACAGAACACAGUUUGGCAACAAGGUAACAGCCAGAACAGACAUCAGUAAUCCACAGACUGAAGUGUAUUAGGUCACAGUUGUAAUACAAUUAAAAAUAACGCAAGUUACUUAAA